rnacentral:rRNA from 1 species
AACGAACGCUGGCGGCGUGCCUAACACAUGCAAGUCGCGCGAGAACGGGGGGCAACUCCCUAGUAAAGCGGCGCACGGGUGAGUAACACGUAGGUAACCUACCCUCGAGUCCAGGAUAACCUACCGAAAGGUGGGCUAAUACCGGAUAUGACCACGGGAGCCUCGGCUCCUGCGGUGAAAGGUGGCCUCUGCUUGCAAGCCACUGCUCGGAGAUGGGCCUGCGCGCCAUUAGCUAGUUGGUGGGGUAACGGCCCACCAAGGCGAUGAUGGCUAGCUGGUCUGAGAGGAUGGCCAGCCACACUGGGACUGAAACACGGCCCAGACUCCUACGGGAGGCAGCGAGUGGGGGAUAUUGCGCAAUGGGCGAAAGCCUGACGCAGCGACGCCGCGUGGG